rnacentral:rRNA from 1 species
CCUACGGGUGGCAGCAGUGGGGAAUAUUGGACAAUGGGGGCAACCCUGAUCCAGCCAUGCCGCGUGUGUGAAGAAGGCCCUCGGGUUGUAAAGCACUUUCAGUGAGGAAGAACGCCUGGUGGUUAAUACCCAUCAGGAAAGACAUCACUCACAGAAGAAGCACCGGCUAACUCCGUGCCAGCAGCCGCGGUAAUACGGAGGGUGCGAGCGUUAAUCGGAAUUACUGGGCGUAAAGCGCGCGUAGGUGGCUUGAUAAGCCGGUUGUGAAAGCCCCGGGCUCAACCUGGGAACGGCAUCCGGAACUGUCAAGCUAGAGUGCAGGAGAGGAAGGUAGAAUUCCCGGUGUAGCGGUGAAAUGCGUAGAGAUCGGGAGGAAUACCAGUGGCGAAGGCGGCCUUCUGGACUGAAACUGACACUGAGGUGCGAAAGCGUGGGUAGCAAACAGGAUUAGAUACCCGAGUAGUC